rnacentral:rRNA from 1 species
UACGUAGGGUGCAAGCGUUAAUCGGAAUUACUGGGCGUAAAGCGUGCGCAGGCGGCUGGUCAAGUCCGACGUGAAAUCUCCCGGCUUAACUGGGAAAUUGCAUCGGAAACUGAUCGGCUUGAAGGUGGGAGAGGGUAGCGGAAUUCCCGGUGUAGUGGUGAAAUGCGUAGAUAUCGGGAGGAACACCAGUGGCGAAGGCGGCUACCUGGCCCAUUCUUGACGCUGAGGCGCGAAAGCUAGGGGAGCAAACGGG